AUAGCGAACAAGUACCGUGAGGGAAAGUUGAAAAGCACUCUGGAGAGAGAGUCAAAAGACCGUGAAACCGCUCAGAGUAUAAGCCCAUGGCAGCUUGGAAGGCAUAUCGCUAGCGGGGCAUCGGUCUUCCCUCCUUCGGGGGGUGAAGCUGGUGUUACCUUGCUUCUGUUGGUGCUCGUCAUGGUAGGGGGGUCAAGUCCACAUCCCGCCGUCGUGUGUGAGGUUCUUGGGUGUGCUGUGGUCUUUCGGUUGACUUCGGUUGGCCGUUGGGCUCUUCGUGCUUGGUGCUUCUUUAACACGGACGUUCAUACUCAAGGCAAGACGCGAUAACCAGCCCACCACGGCACGUUGUGAGGUCACCCUCAGGCUAAACUUUCGAUUGUGAACCUUGACGCCGAGCAGCACAAUGCGUGUCGCUUAUGUUCCUAACCAGGCAACGCUGCCAGGAUCGUGGAACGACACGCGCUCAACAGUCAGGUUCGAGCGAUGACACAGUUCUGGUAUGAUCCUCUUGCGACGAGCCGGCUUCUGGCCGAUGUCCGAUGCUCAGGUCUCCCGCAUGUGCCGCGGGAGAUCGACCCCUGACGGUCUGGAGCUUUUACAAGUCCUCUCAGUCGGGCAACGGAUAGAGUGGUGUAAAGUCCAAGCCCAUCGGUCACGUCUCGAAACACGGGCCAAGGAGUAUAGCAUGUGUGCAAGUCUAAGGGUCUCACAAAACCCGAAGGCGAAGUGAAAGCAAGUAAGCGGCGGGUGAUCUA
rnacentral:rRNA from 1 species